UUGAGAUUUUUUUUCCAUGUGCUUGUGGAUGAAUUUGCUGGUGAUUUUUGAUGUUUUAUUGAAUACAUGUUGAUGCAGAUGAGACGAGAGUGCAGAUUGAAAGGGCACAAUUAUGCCUUUUUAGGUGUUGCAGAAUGAUUUAGACAUCUUGCGGUCGUAGGUUGGUUUGUAGGUUGGCUUAAUUGAUAGUGAUCCUUAAACUUUGCAGUUUCAACCUAACAAUGAAAAGUUUCUCAAAGAUCCUAUAUGUGUUAAUUACCAAGUAUCCUCCAACUGCAUCUAUCCAUUUGGGCAAAAAGCAGACUACAUGUUGUGGAGAUUCUGGAUUUGCUGGUUUCUUUACACUUGAAUGAUGAAUGAUAAAUGAUGGCAGUAUGAAUCUCUUAUUAUGAGCUUGGUGCUACAAAGUCGAAGGAGUGUUCAUCUUUAGUUUCAAAAUU